rnacentral:rRNA from 1 species
UACGGGGGGAGCAAGCGUUGUUCGGAUUUACUGGGCGUAAAGGGCGCGUAGGCGGCCACCGCAAGUCGAUUGUGAAAUCUCCGGGCUUAACUCGGAAAGGUCAACCGAUACUGCGGGGCUAGAGUGCAGAAGGGGCAACUGGAAUUCUCGGUGUAGCGGUGAAAUGCGUAGAUAUCGGGAGGAACACCAGUGGCGAAGGCGGUUGCCUGGAGCUUUGCUGACGCUGAUGCGCGAAAGCGUGGGGAGCGAUCCGG